rnacentral:rRNA from 1 species
AGAGUUUGAUCAUGGCUCAGAUUGAACGCUGGCGGAAUGCUUUACACAUGCAAGUCGAACGAUGAACCUUAGCUUGCUAGGGGGAUUAGUGGCGAACGGGUGAGUAAUAUAUCGGAACGUGCCUUGUAAUGGGGGAUAACUAGUCGAAAGAUUAGCUAAUACCGCAUACGCCCUGAGGGGGAAAGUAGGGGAUCUUCGGACCUUACGUUAUAAGAGCGGCCGAUAUCUGAUUAGCUAGUUGGUGGGGUAAUGGCCUACCAAGGCUUCGAUCAGUAGCUGGUCUGAGAGGACGACCAGCCACACUGGAACUGAGACACGGUCCAGACUCCUACGGGAGGCAGCAGUGGGGAAUUUUGGACAAUGGGCGCAAGCCUGAUCCAGCCAUUCCGCGUGAGUGAAGAAGGCCUUCGGGUUGUAAAGCUCUUUCGCAAGGGAAGAAAACUUACCUUCUAAUAAAGGGUGAGGCUGACGGUACCUUGAUAAGAAGCACCGGCUAACUACGUGCCAGCAGCCGCGGUAAUACGUAGGGUGCGAGCGUUAAUCGGAAUUACUGGGCGUAAAGCGUGCGCAGGCGGUUUGGCAAGUCAGAUGUGAAAUCCCCGAGCUCAACUUGGGAACUGCGUUUGAAACUGCCAGACUAGAAUAUGUCAGAGGGGGGUAGAAUUCCACGUGUAGCAGUGAAAUGCGUAGAGAUGUGGAG